rnacentral:rRNA from 1 species
UACGAAGGGGGCUAGCGUUGUUCGGAAUCACUGGGCGUAAAGCGCACGUAGGCGGAUCUUUAAGUCAGGGGUGAAAUCCUGGAGCUCAACUCCAGAACUGCCUUUGAUACUGGGGAUCUCGAGUCCGGGAGAGGUGAGUGGAACUGCGAGUGUAGAGGUGAAAUUCGUAGAUAUUCGCAAGAACACCAGUGGCGAAGGCGGCUCACUGGCCCGAUACUGACGCUGAAGCACGAAAGCGUGGGGAGCAAACAGG